CUUGUGUAAACAAAAGAUAUGAAGGAAAUGACUAAACUGUGAAGGUUAAUCACCUAGUCAUCCAGAUUAUUUUUGGAGGUAAUGUAGCAGAAGUUGAAAGAGCUGGCACUUUCUGAUUUGGAAAAGAAUACUGAUGAAACAAAUCCUGUCUUCAGAGAAAAGUAUUCAGUAUUAUACAGGACAGAUGAAGUUCAGGAAAGGCCUCUGGCAAAAGAGUGACAAUGAGGUUAAGGUUAAGCGCCCUAUGUUCCUUUGCCAGGCAUCUGGUAGUACUGUGUUGGUAAACACACAACUAGGAAGAUCCAGUUUCUGAUCCUACUUCCACAUUUGGGAGUAUGCAAGGGACAAAAACACCUCUUUGCGUAGCUUGACUGGAUGCCCCAAGACUAGGAUGUUAGUAUGUUUAAACUAUUUUCGUUUCUAUAUUGUCUUGCCAAUGUAUGCACAUUGGUUGUUUGGCUAGAAUAGUGUUGUGAAUGCAAAAGAAAGUUAGCCUCUGUAAACUUGGCCAACAUGUCCAAAUUGUCUGGCAAAAGCUGGGCUCCUAAUUAAUCUAUAUAUGAUAGUUUUUGGGAAGCAUAAAUUAAGGUCUGUUCUCUUUGUUAGGAAAGCUAAGAAAAUUGUUUUAAAUAAUUUUAAAUGGACCUGGAAAUCUCAUUUUAAACAGGUUUAAAAAAUGGUUACUAAUAAUAUAUAAUGUGGCUUGCAUUAUAUUAUCUUUAACUAGUUUUAGAUAAGUUGGUAAAUUGGACUAGUACUGUACUUUAGAUACUGAUCAAAUAGUUAUCAAAAUAAUGAGAUUGUUUGUUCCACUUCGAUUUUAUUUUAAAAUCUGCAACUAUGUCCCAUAGUUGAGUAUUCAUAAUUUUAACUGAGAUUCCAUGUUGAGUAGGUAGAUUGCUUGAAAAAUGUGAUUUCUUAGCUGGUUUAUAUUGUUAUAUAUCCAUAUACAGAUAGUCCUCCACUUACGACCACA